GUUAUCCUGUCUGAAUAUGGGGGGACCAUCCUCCAAGGCUAAAUACUCCUGACUGACCGAUAGUGAACCAGUACCGUGAGGGAAAGGCGAAAAGAACCCCGGCGAGGGGAGUGAAAAAGAACCUGAAACCGUGUACGUACAAGCAGUGGGAGCACAGAGCAAUCUGUGUGACUGCGUACCUUUUGUAUAAUGGGUCAGCGACUUAUAUUCUGUAGCAAGGUUAACCGAAUAGGGGAGCCGAAGGGAAACCGAGUCUUAACUGGGCGUUAAGUUGCAGGGUAUAGACCCGAAACCCGGUGAUCUAGCCAUGGGCAGGUUGAAGGUUGGGUAACACUAACUGGAGGACCGAACCGACUAAUGUUGAAAAAUUAGCGGAUGACUUGUGGCUGGGGGUGAAAGGCCAAUCAAACCGGGAGAUAGCUGGUUCUCCCCGAAAGCUAUUUAGGUAGCGCCUCGUGAAUUCAUCUCCGGGGGUAGAGCACUGUUUCGGCAAGGGGGUCAUCCCGACUUACCAACCCGAUGCAAACUGCGAAUACCGGAGAAUGUUAUCACGGGAGACACACGGCGGGUGCUAACGUCCGUCGUGAAGAGGGAAACAACCCAGACCGCCAGCUAAGGUCCCAAAGUCAUGGUUAAGUGGGAAACGAUGUGGGAAGGCCCAGACAGCCAGGAUGUUGGCUUAGAAGCAGCCAUCAUUUAAAGAAAGCGUAAUAGCUCACUGGUCGAGUCGGCCUGCGCGGAAGAUGUAACGGGGCUAAACCAUGCACCGAAGCUGCGGCAGCGACGCUGAUGCGUUGUUGGGUAGGGGAGCGUUCUGUAAGCCUGUGAAGGUGUGCUGUGAGGCAUGCUGGAGGUAUCAGAAGUGCGAAUGCUGACAUAAGUAACGAUAAAGCGGGUGAAAAGCCCGCUCGCCGGAAGACCAAGGGUUCCUGUCCAACGUUAAUCGGGGCAGGGUGAGUCGACCCCUAAGGCGAGGCCGAAAGGCGUAGUCGAUGGGAAACAGGUUAAUAUUCCUGUACUUGGUGUUACUGCGAAGGGGGGACGGAGAAGGCUAUGUUGGCCGGGCGACGGUUGUCCCGGUUUAAGCGUGUAGGCUGGUUUUCCAGGCAAAUCCGGAAAAUCAAGGCUGAGGCGUGAUGACGAGGCACUACGGUGCUGAAGCAACAAAUGCCCUGCUUCCAGGAAAAGCCUCUAAGCAUCAGGUAACAUCAAAUCGUACCCCAAACCGACACAGGUGGUCAGGUAGAGAAUACCAAGGCGCUUGAGAGAACUCGGGUGAAGGAACUAGGCAAAAUGGUGCCGUAACUUCGGGAGAAGGCACGCUGAUAUGUAGGUGAAGUCCCUCGCGGAUGGAGCUGAAAUCAGUCGAAGAUACCAGCUGGCUGCAACUGUUUAUUAAAAACACAGCACUGUGCAAACACGAAAGUGGACGUAUACGGUGUGACGCCUGCCCGGUGCCGGAAGGUUAAUUGAUGGGGUUAGCGCAAGCGAAGCUCUUGAUCGAAGCCCCGGUAAACGGCGGCCGUAACUAUAACGGUCCUAAGGUAGCGAAAUUCCUUGUCGGGUAAGUUCCGACCUGCACGAAUGGCGUAAUGAUGGCCAGGCUGUCUCCACCCGAGACUCAGUGAAAUUGAACUCGCUGUGAAGAUGCAGUGUACCCGCGGCAAGACGGAAAGACCCCGUGAACCUUUACUAUAGCUUGACACUGAACAUUGAGCCUUGAUGUGUAGGAUAGGUGGGAGGCUUUGAAGUGUGGACGCCAGUCUGCAUGGAGCCGACCUUGAAAUACCACCCUUUAAUGUUUGAUGUUCUAACGUUGACCCGUGAUCCGGGUUGCGGACAGUGUCUGGUGGGUAGUUUGACUGGGGCGGUCUCCUCCUAAAGAGUAACGGAGGAGCACGAAGGUUGGCUAAUCCUGGUCGGACAUCAGGAGGUUAGUGCAAUGGCAUAAGCCAGCUUGACUGCGAGCGUGACGGCGCGAGCAGGUGCGAAAGCAGGUCAUAGUGAUCCGGUGGUUCUGAAUGGAAGGGCCAUCGCUCAACGGAUAAAAGGUACUCCGGGGAUAACAGGCUGAUACCGCCCAAGAGUUCAUAUCGACGGCGGUGUUUGGCACCUCGAUGUCGGCUCAUCACAUCCUGGGGCUGAAGUAGGUCCCAAGGGUAUGGCUGUUCGCCAUUUAAAGUGGUACGCGAGCUGGGUUUAGAACGUCGUGAGACAGUUCGGUCCCUAUCUGCCGUGGGCGCUGGAGAACUGAGGGGGGCUGCUCCUAGUACGAGAGGACCGGAGUGGACGCAUCACUGGUGUUCGGGUUGUCAUGCCAAUGGCACUGCCCGGUAGCUAAAUGCGGAAGAGAUAAGUGCUGAAAGCAUCUAAGCACGAAACUUGCCCCGAGAUGAGUUCUCCCUGACUCCUUGAGAGUCCUGAAGGAACGUUGAAGACGACGACGUUGAUAGGCCGGGUGUGUAAGCGCAGCGAUGCGUUGAGCUAACCGGUACUAAUGAACCGUGAGGCUUAACCUUACAACGCCGAAG
rnacentral:rRNA from 1 species